CUGUGAUAUACUUUUUUUGUUUUCUAAGUCGUUAGUAGGAUAUUUUAGAAAGUAAGUUUGUAUUCGCCAGCUUUCUGAGUUAAUCAGCGGCGACCAGACAACUGCUGAGAUGAAUCACAGAUGGGUUCCAAUGUUUCUUGUCUAUUAAUUUCAUCUCACAUUU